rnacentral:misc_RNA from 1 species
GAUGAAGAACGCAGCGAAAUGCGAUAAGUAGUGUGAAUUGCAGAAUUCAGUGAAUCAUCGAAUCUUUGAACGCACAUUGCGCCCCUUGGUAUUCCAUGGGGCAUGCCUGUUCGAGCGUCAUUUGUACCUUCAAGCUUUGCUUGGUGUUGGGUGUUUGUCUCGCCUUUGCGUGUAGACUCGCCUUAAAAUAAUUGGCAGCCGGCGUAUUGAUUUCGGAGCGCAGUACAUCUCGCGCUUUGCACUCAUAACGACAGCGUCCAAAAGUACAUUUUACACUCUUGACCUCGGAUCAGGUAGGGAUACCCGCUGAACUUAAGCAUAUCAAUAAACGGAGGA